rnacentral:rRNA from 1 species
UACGGAGGGUGCAAGCGUUAUCCGGAAUCAUUGGGUUUAAAGGGUCCGCAGGCGGUCGUAUAAGUCAGUGGUGAAAGCCUACAGCUCAACUGUAGAACUGCCAUUGAUACUGUACGACUUGAAUUCGAUCGAAGUGGGCGGAAUGUGACAUGUAGCGGUGAAAUGCUUAGAUAUGUCACAGAACACCGAUAGCGAAGGCAGCUCACUAGGUCUGGAUUGACGCUCAGGGACGAAAGCGUGGGGAGCAAACAGG